GCAUAUCAAUAAGCGGAGGAAAAGAAACCAACAGGGAUUGCCUCAGUAACGCGCGAGUGAAGCGGCAACAGCUCAAAUUUGAAAUCUGGUCCCCUCUGGGGGCCCGAGUUGUAAUUUGAAGAGGAUGCUUUUGGCGAGGCGCCGUCCGAGUUCCCUGGAACGGGACGCCGCAGAGGGUGAGAGCCCCGUACGGUCGGACGCCGAGCCUCUGUAAAGCUCCUUCGACGAGUCGAGUAGUUUGGGAAUGCUGCUCAAAAUGGGAGGUAAACCCCUUCUAAAGCUAAAUACCGGCCAGAGACCGAUAGCGCACAAGUAGAGUGAUCGAAAGAUGAAAAGCACUUUGAAAAGAGAGUUAAAAAGCACGUGAAAUUGUUAAAAGGGAAGCGCUUGCGACCAGACUUGCGCCCGUCGGAUCAACCGUCGCUUGCGGCGGCGCACUCCGGCGGGCUCAGGCCAGCAUCAGUUCGCUCGGGGGGAGAAAGGCGGCGGGAAUGUAGCUCCUCGGAGUGUUAUAGCCCGCCGUGUAAUACCCUCGGGUGGACUGAGGACCGCGCGUAUGCAAGGAUGCUGGCGUAAUGGUCGUCAGCGACCCGUCUUGAAACACGGACCAAGGAGUCGUCCUAAUAUGCGAGUGUACGGGUGUCAAACCCCUGCGCGUAAUGAAAGUGAACGGAGGUGAGAGCUUCGGCGCAUCAUCGACCGAUCCUGAUGUUAUCGGAUGGAUUUGAGUAAGAGCAUAUUGGGCCGGACCCGAAAGAAGGUGAACUAUGCCUGUGUAGGGUAAAGCCAGAGGAAACUCUGGUGGAGGCUCGCAGCGGUUCUGACGUGCAAAUCGAUCGUCAAACAUGGGCAUGGGGGCGAAAGACUAAUCGAAUCUUUCUAGUAGCUGGUUUUUCUGCUGAAGUUUUCUCUUCAAGGAAAUC
rnacentral:rRNA from 1 species